CCUACGGGAGGCAGCAGUGAGGAAUAUUGGUCAAUGGGCGAGAGCCUGAACCAGCCAAGUAGCGUGCAGGAUGACGGCCCUAUGGGUUGUAAACUGCUUUUAUAAGGGAAUAAAGUGGGGCUCGUGAGCUCCUUUGCAUGUACCUUAUGAAUAAGGACCGACUAAUUCCGUGC
rnacentral:rRNA from 1 species